rnacentral:rRNA from 1 species
CGACGUGGGUAACCUGCCUCAUACAGGGGGAUAACAGUUGGAAACGACUGCUAAUACCGCAUAAGCGCACAGGAUCACAUGAUCUGGUGUGAAAAACUCCGGUGGUAUGAGAUGGACCCGCGUCUGAUUAGCCAGUUGGCAGGAUAACGGCCUACCAAAGCGACGAUCAGUAGCCGACCUGAGAGGGUGACCGGCCACAUUGGGACUGAGACACGGCCCAA